AUUGAACGCUGGCGGCAGGCCUAACACAUGCAAGUCGAGCGAGCGGCGGACGGGUGAGUAAUGACUAGGAAUCUGCCUGGUAGUGGGGGAUAACGUCCGGAAACGGGCGCUAAUCCCGCAUACCAUCGGAUGUGCACAGAUGGGAUUAGCUUGUAGGUGAGGUAACGGCUCACCUAGGCGACGAUCCCUAGCUGGUCUGAGAGGAUGACCAGCCACACCUGAACGUAGCCACGGUCCCGCCUCCUUCGGGUGGCAACAGUUGGGAAUAUUGCACAAUGGGCGCAAGCCUUAUGCAGCCAUGCCGCGUGUAUGAAGAAGGCCUUCGGGUUGUAAAGUACUUUCAGCGGGGAGGCGUUACCCGCAGAAGAAGCACCGGCUAACUCCGUGCCAGCAGCCGCGGUAAUUC
rnacentral:rRNA from 1 species